rnacentral:rRNA from 1 species
UACGAAGGGGGCUAGCGUUGUUCGGAAUCACUGGGCGUAAAGGGCGCGUAGGCGGCACUGUUAGUCAGGCGUGAAAGUCCUGGGCUCAACCUGGGAACUGCGCUUGAUACGGCAGAGCUAGAGGAUGGAAGAGGCUCGCGGAAUUCCCAGUGUAGAGGUGAAAUUCGUAGAUAUUGGGAAGAACACCGGUGGCGAAGGCGGCGAGCUGGUCCGAUUACUGACGCUGAGGCGCGACAGCGUGGGGAGCAAACAGG